rnacentral:rRNA from 1 species
CAGCCGCCGCGGUAAUACGAAGGGUGCAAGCGUUAAUCGGAAUUACUGGGCGUAAAGCGCACGCAGGCGGUUUGUUAAGUCAGAUGUGAAAUCCCCGAGCUUAACUUGGGAACUGCAUUUGAAACUGGCAAGCUAGAGUCUUGUAGAGGGGGGUAGAAUUCCAGGUGUAGCGGUGAAAUGCGUAGAGAUCGGAAGGAACAUCUGUGGCGAAGGCGACUAUCUGGGCCAACACUGACACUGAGGCACGAAAGCGUGGGGAGCAAACAGGAUUAGAUACCCCUGUAGUCCCUGUCUCUUAUAC